GACGAACGCUGGCGGCGUGCUUAACACAUGCAAGUCGAACGGAAAGGCCCUGCUUUUGUGGGGUGCUCGAGUGGCGAACGGGUGAGUAACACGUGAGUAACCUGCCCUUGACUUUGGGAUAACUUCAGGAAACUGGGGCUAAUACCGGAUAGGAGCUCCUGCUGCAUGGUGGGGGUUGGAAAGUUUCGGCGGUUGGGGAUGGACUCGCGGCUUAUCAGCUUGUUGGUGGGGUAGUGGCUUACCAAGGCUUUGACGGGUAGCCGGCCUGAGAGGGUGACCGGCCACAUUGGGACUGAGAUACGGUCCAGACUCCUACGGGAGGCAGCAGUGGGGAAUAUUGCACAAUGGGCUGAAGCCUGAUGCAGCAACGCCGCGUGCGGGAUGACGGCCUUCGGGUUGUAAACCGCUUUCGCCUGUGACGAAGCGUGAGUGACGGUAAUGGGUAAAGAAGCACCGGCUAACUACGUG
rnacentral:rRNA from 1 species